AAAAGAAAGGUUUCUGCUGUGUGGGACCACUUUGAUGUCAUUUCGGAAAAUAAGGUUAAAUGUCGCAAUUGCUCAACAGAGCUUGCAUAUUUAAAUAACAGCACCUCCUCAAUGCUGAGGCAUUAUAGGGCCAAGCAUGAGAGUGAAAUCAAUGAUACACCCAUGAUGAACUCAGCUUCCAGGAAGCAGAUGCUUGAUGAGGCUGUGCUUAAUUUCAUUGUAAAGGACUGCCAGCCCCUCGCUGUUGUGGAGAAUGAAGGGUUCAGGGAGCUGGUUCAGCUCCUUGAACCCUCAUAUGUUUUGCCAACCAGAAAGACCAUCAAACAACUGUUGGCCAAAAAGUACGAGGAGGAACGGGAACGAGUGAAAAUGGAAGUACAGCAGACUGCGGACAGAAUGUGCCUCAAUUGGAAGCUCAAAUGAGCCCAAGCCGGGAACAUCUUCACAACAGCUAUGACCUUUGGGAACAUUUUGAUCUCGAAGUGGGGAGGCAGACCAAAAGUGCCACAGCUGAUGCCAUCCUUGAGGUGCAGAGAUACAUGGCAGAGGGCAAUAUUGCGAGGUCCCAGGAUCCUCUUGUA